rfam:Turicibacter sanguinis PC909 contig00029, whole genome shotgun sequence.
UGAUGAGUUAGAGGUGCAUGGCUAAAGAGUAGGAAUUUCGAGAGUGACGUCUAAGACAAAUUCUAAAAGGUAUCCAUGCCGAAGUGAAAAUAGUGUCCGCUAUUUUUUGCUGGGGUUAGAUUGAAGAAGUCUAACACUGUCACUGCCUAUGGUAGUGGAGAACUAAUGAUCGG